AAAGUGCGAUAAGUCAUGUGAAUUGCGGAAUUCGUGAAUCAUCAAGUUUUUGAACGCAAAUGGCGCCAAUACUUGUAUUGGCACACCUAUUUGAGUGUUGGCUAAAAUCUUCUCAAUCUCAUCAUUGAGAGAUGAUGAAUGUCUAUCAAAUCCUUGAGAAAAGAUAGUCAUUUUAAAUGAAUCAAUUGAAACCUUUCACUGUGACUUGUCAUGAGAAACAUGAAGGUAAUUCAAUACUCAACUUGUUCUAUUCAAUCUUUCGAGAGAGAAUUGACAAUCAACCUCAAAUUAGGUGAGAGUACCCGCUGAACUUAA
rnacentral:misc_RNA from 1 species